GGGACACUGGGAGAUGUGGGGACACUGACACUUGGGGACACAUGUCUAUCUCCACAAGUGCCCCAAUGUCUCCCAGUGUCCCCAAGUGUCUGUGUCCCCAUGCCUCCCAGCCAGUGUCCCUAGUGUCUGUGUCCCCAUGUCUCCCAGUUCCCC